AACGAACGCUGGCGGCAUGCUUAACACAUGCAAGUCGAACGGGACCUCCCUGUUUUGUGGGGCUGGGGUGCGUAACGAGUGGGAACCUGCCCUUAGGUUCGCCAUCCCUCCCCGAAAGGGGAGCUAAUACCGGUUAAUGUCAUCGCGCCAAAGAUCUAUUGCUGUUGGAUGGGCCCGCGUUGGUUUAGCGAGUUGGUAGGGUAAAAGCCUAGCAUGGCGUCGAUGCAUAGCUGGUCUGAGAGGAUGAUCAGGCACACUGGGACUGAGACACGGCCCAGACUCGUACGGGAGGCAGGAGUGGAGGAUAGUGGACGAGGGGCGAAGGCCUGGUCCAGCAAUGUCGGGUGAGUGAUGAAGUCCUUAGGGUGGUAAAGCUCUUUUAGCCGGGGUGAGAAUGACGGUACCGGGAGAAGAAGCGCCGGCUAACUCCGUG
rnacentral:rRNA from 1 species